GAUGAACGCUGGCGGAGUGCCUAACACAUGCAAGUCGAGCGGCAGCGCGAGUAGUUUACUCCUUGGCGGCGAGCGGCGGACGGCUGAGUAACGCGUGGGAACAUGCCCCAAAGUGAGGAAUAACUGCCCGAAAGGGUAGCUAAUGCCGCAUAUGAUCUUCGGAUUAAAGGAUUUAUCCGCUUUGGGAGUGGCCUGCGUACGAUUAGAUAGUUGGUGAGGUAAAGGCUCACCAAGUCGACGAUCGUUAACUGGUUUGAGAGGAUGAUCAGUCAGACUGGAACUGAGACACGGUCCAGACUCCUACGGGAGGCAGCAGUGAGGAAUCUUCCACAAUGGGCGAAAGCCUGAUGGAGCAACUCCGCGUGCAGGAUGAAGGCCUUCGGGUUGUAAACUGCUUUUAUGAGUGAAGAAUAUGACGGUAACUCAUGAAUAAGGGUCGGCUAACUACGUG
rnacentral:rRNA from 1 species